AGCGGUUAAUGACAUUGGAUUUGGAACGAAAACUGUACCUUUGACGAUUGUAUCGAAAGGGAGAACGGUCACUGGCAAUGGAACUGAAAGACAGACACUACGCGAAGCUCGAAACACAGCACCACCGUUGACAAUAGUCUCAAAAGGAAGAGCUCUCACCAACACUGGAGUUGAAGCUAGAACCCUUCCGUUGACGAUUGAUUCCCGACUAAAAGCAGUCAACGAAAUUGGGACACAACCAUUACAUGAAGAUAAAUAUCCACCAGUUCGAAAGGUCAAUGCAAUAAUUACCAAUUUCAACAAAGCCAAAGUUAAAAAUGCUAAAACGUCGGUUAC